rnacentral:rRNA from 1 species
GACGAACGCUGGCGGCGUGCUUAACACAUGCAAGUCGAACGGAAAGGCCCUGCUUUUGUGGGGUGCUCGAGUGGCGAACGGGUGAGCAACACGUGAGUAACCUGCCCUUGACUUUGGGAUAACUUCAGGAAACUGGGGCUAAUACCGGAUAGGAGCUCCUGCUGCAUGGUGGGGGUUGGAAAGUUUCGGCGGUUGGGGAUGGACUCGCGGCUUAUCAGCUUGUUGGUGGGGUAGUGGCUUACCAAGGCUUUGACGGGUAGCCGGCCUGAGAGGGUGACCGGCCACAUUGGGACUGAGAUACGGCCCAGACUCCUACGGGAGGCAGCAGUGGGGAAUAUUGCACAAUGGGCGGAAGCCUGAUGCAGCAACGCCGCGUGCGGGAUGACGGCCUUCGGGUUGUAAACCGCUUUCGCCUGUGACGAAGCGUGAGUGACGGUAAUGGGUAAAGAAGCACCGACUAACUACGUG